CCUACGGGUGGCAGCAGUGAGGAAUAUUGGUCAAUGGGCGCGAGCCUGAACCAGCCAAGUAGCGUGAAGGAUGACUGCCCUACGGGUUGUAAACUUCUUUUAUAAAGGAAUAAAGUGAGGCACGUGUGCCUUUUUGUAUGUACUUUAUGAAUAAGGAUCGGCUAACUCCGUGCCAGCAGCCGCGGUAAUACGGAGGAUGCGAGCUUUAUCCGGAUUUAUUGGGUUUAAAGGGUGCGUAGGCGGUUUUUUAAUUCAGUGGUAAAACGUCGGGGCUUCACCUUGAUUUGCCAUUAAUACUGUAGGCCUCGAGUUAAGACGAGGUAGGCGGAAUAAGUAAAGUAGCGGUAAAAUGCAUAGAUAUAACUUAGAACCACGAUAGCGAAGGCAG
rnacentral:rRNA from 1 species